GACGAACGCUGGCGGCGUGCUUAACACAUGCAAGUCGAACGGAAAGGCCCUGCUUUUGUGGGGUGCUCGAGUGGCGAACGGGUGAGUAACACGUGAGUAACCUGCCCUUGACUUUGGGAUAACUUCAGGAAACUGGGGCUAAUACCGGAUAGGAGCUCCUGCUGCAUGGUGGGGGUUAAAGUUUCGGCGGUUGGGGAUGGACUCGCGGCUUAUCAGCUUGUUGGUGGGGUAGUGGCUUACCAAGGCUUUGACGGGUAGCCGGCCUGAGAGGGUGACCGGCCACAUUGGGACUGAGAUACGGCCCAGACUCCUACGGGAGGCAGCAGUGGGGAAUAUUGCACAAUGGGCGGAAGCCUGAUGCAGCAACGCCGCGUGCGGGAUGACGGCCUUCGGGUUGUAAACCGCUUUCGCCUGUGACGAAGCGUGAGUGACGGUAAUGGGUAAAGAAGCACCGGCUAACUACGUG
rnacentral:rRNA from 1 species